CCUGGUUGAUCUUGCCAGUAGUCAUAUGCUUGUCUCACAGAUUAAGCCAUGCAAGUGAAAGUACAUAUGUAAAUAAUAUAUUGAAACUGCGAACGGCUCAUUAAAACAGUUAUAAUCUACUUGAUGUUUUUAAUAUAAGGAUAACUACGGAAAAUCUGUAGCUAAUACUUGUGAAAAUACCUUUUGAUAUAUACAUAUGUAUGUAUCAUUAAGGUAUGUAUUUGUUAGAUAUAAGAAUAAAAUAAAUAUAAUUGAAUUAUAACAAAGAAGAAACACAUAAAAUAUGUGUAUUAUCAAUCGAGUAUCUGACCUAUCAGCUUUUGAUGUUAGGGUAUUGACCUAACAUGGCUAUGACGGGUAACGGGGAAUUAGAGUUCGAUUCCGGAGAGGGAGCCUGAGAAAUAGCUACCACAUCUAAGGAAGGCAGCAGGCGGCGUAAAUUACCCCAAUUCUAAAAAAGGAGAGGUAGUGACAAGAAAUAACAAUACAAUAUCGAAAAAUGAUUUUGUAAUUGGAAUGAUAGGAAUUUACAAGGUUCCUAGAGAAACAAUUGGAGGGCAAGUCUGGUGCCAGCAGCCGCGGUAAUUCCAGCUCCAAUAGCAUAUAUUAAAAUUGUUGCAGUUAAAACGUUCGUAGUUGAAUAUUAAAGAAUCCGAUGUUUCAUUUAAACUGGUUUGGGAAAACCAAAUAUAUUAUAUAUUUUGCUUUGUUCAAAAUAAGGUUUUCUAAUAAAUUAUGUUUUUAUCAGAUAUGACAGAAUCUUUUUUAAAAUCUCUUCAAUAUGCUUUUAUUGCUUUUGAGAGGUUUUGUUACUUUGAGUAAAAUUAAGUGUUCAUAACAGACGGGUAGUCAUGAUUGAGUUCAUUGUGUUUGAAUACUACAGCAUGGAAUAACAAAUAUGAAUAAGCUAAUUAUUUUUUUUUUUCAUAAUUUUUUUUGAUAUUCUUAUUAGCUUAGUUACGAUUAAUAGGAGUAGCUUUGGGGGCAUUCGUAUUCAGAUGUCAGAGGUGAAAUUCUAAGAUUUUCUGGAGACGGACUACUGCGAAAGCAUUUGCCUAAUCUAUUUCCAUUAAUCAAGAACGAAAGUUAAGGGAGUGAAGACGAUCAGAUACCGUCGUAAUCUUAACCAUAAACUAUACCGACUAGGUGUUGGAUGAAUAUAAAAAAUAUAUAAAUAUGUAGCAUUUCUUAGGGAAUGUUGAUUUUAUAUUAGAAUUGCUUCCUUCAGUACCUUAUGAGAAAUCAAAGUCUUUGGGUUCUGGGGCGAGUAUUCGCGCAAGCGAGAAAGUUAAAAGAAUUGACGGAAGGGCACCACCAGGCGUGGAGCUUGCGGCUUAAUUUGACUCAACACGGGAAAACUCACUAGUUUAAGACAAGAGUAGGAUUGACAGAUUAAUAGCUCUUUCUUGAUUUCUUGGAUGGUGAUGCAUGGCCGUUUUUAGUUCGUGAAUAUGAUUUGUCUGGUUAAUUCCGAUAACGAACGAGAUCUUAACCUGCUAAUUAGCGGUAAGUACACUAUAUUUUUAUUUGAAAUUGAAUAUAGGUAAUUAUACAUGUUUAUUCAGUGUUCAAAUUAGGAUAUUUUUUUUAUUAAAAUAUUCUUUUCCCUGUUCUACUAUAAUAAUUUGUUUUUUUUUACUCUAUUUCUCUCUUCUUUUAAGAAUGUACUUGUUUGAUUAAAUAAAGCUUCUUAGAGGAACAGUGUGUAUCUAACACAAGGAAGUUUAAGGCAACAACAGGUCUGUGAUGUCCUUAGAUAAACUAGGCUGCACGCGUGCUACAAUGAUAUAUAUAACAAGUUGUUAAAAAUGUACUUAUAAAUAAGUGUGUACAGUUUUUCCUGUACUGAAAAGUAUAGGUAAUCUUUAUCAGUAUAUAUCGUAAUUGGGAUAGAUUAUUGCAAUUAUUAAUCUUGAACGAGGAAUGCCUAGUAAGCAUGAUUCAUUAGAUUGUGCUGACUACGUCCCUGCCCUUUGUACACACCGCCCGUCGCUCCUACCGAUUGAAAGAUAUGAUAAAUUGUUUGGAUAUGAAUUAAAAUAAUGAAAUUUUAUAUUUCUGAUUUUUUCUAGAAGAACUGUAAAUCCUAUCUUUUAAAGGAAGGAGAAGUCGUAACAAGGUUUCCGUAGGUGAACCUGCGGAAG
rnacentral:rRNA from 1 species